GUGCUCAUUUUGGCAGCACAUAUACUCAAAUUGAAACAAUACAGAGAAGAUUAGCAUGACCCUUGUGCAAGAAUCACUAAAAAUUUGUGAAGCAUUCUAUAUUUUA
ensembl:snRNA U6 U6 spliceosomal RNA